CCUACAACACCGGUUCACGUACGAUUACCGAAGUUAAGCAGCGUCGAGCCUGGUCAGUGCCAAGAUGGGUAACCGCAUUGGAAUAGCAGGUGUUGUAC